rnacentral:rRNA from 2 species
GGGGGCUGCUCCUAGUACGAGAGGACCGGAGUGGACGCAUCACUGGUGUUCGGGUUGUCAUGCCAAUGGCACUGCCCGGUAGCUAAAUGCGGAAGAGAUAAGUGCUGAAAGCAUCUAAGCACGAAACUUGCCCCGAGAUGAGUUCUCCCUGAGACUUAGAGUCUCCUGAAGGAACGUUGAAGACGACGACGUUGAUAGGCCGGGUGUGUAAGCGCAGCGAUGCGUUGAGCUAACCGGUACUAAUGAACCGUGAGGCUUAACCUUACAACGCCGAAG